rnacentral:rRNA from 1 species
GAUGAACGCUGGCGGCGUGCCUAAUACAUGCAAGUCGAGCGGUAAGGCUCCUUCGGGAGUACACGAGCGGCGGACGGGUGAGUAAUACGUAGGAACGUACCCCAGAGUGAGGAAUAACCAGCCGAAAGGUUGGCUAAUACCGCAUAUGCUCUACGGAGUAAAGCAGCAAUGCGCUUUGGGAACGGCCUGCGUCCGAUUAGCUAGUUGGUAAGGUAAAGGCUUACCAAGGCGACGAUCGGUAGCUGUUCUGAGAGGAUGAUCAGCCACACUGGAACUGAGACACGGUCCAGACUCCUACGGGAGGCAGCAGUAGGGAAUUUUCCACAAUGGGCGAAAGCUUGAUGGAGCAACGCCGCGUGCAGGAUGAAGGCCUUAGGGUUGUAAACUGCUUUUAUCUGUGACGAUUAUGACAGUAGCAGAUGAAUAAGGAUCGGCUAACUCCGUGCCAGCCGCCGCAGUAA